AUUCCCACUGCAUUAUUUCAUGACGAUGGAACUAUGAGAAAGACAAAUAAGUCUGAUCUUGCCCAUGAAUUGGAAAAUUUAGUAGGAUCAGUACCUAACAUUCCUCCAUUCGACCACAGUGCUACCGUACUAAUAAGAGAUGGCAUGAGCUUAGUUCAGUCAUUUGAUGUGAAAAGGAUGUCCACAUUUGGAGACUUGGCCAAAUCUUAUAUUAUGCAGUUACAAUCAUGCUUCCGAUUCACAGACAAGGUUGUUGAUGUCUUCGAUCGCUAUGACACUGAACAUUCUAUAAAAUCAGCAGAGCGUCAUAGACGAUCGGCAACAACAUCUACGCAAAAAGUUUAUCAUAUCGCUGAAGGCCGAACUGUUCCAGACUGGAAAAAAUUUCUAUCAAGCAACAAAAACAAGCAAGCAUUGAUUACUUUCCUUGGUGAUUAUCUGAGCAGCAAUUUGUCUGAUAUAUUCCAGGGUGAAAAUAAAUGUUUAGUUCUUGCCGGUGCAUUUUCCAAUCCAGAAAUAGUGCGACAACUCUCUAAUGAGCAUGUAAUCGAUCUCCCAGACCUUUUCUGUUCGCACGAAGAAGCAG
rnacentral:lncRNA from 1 species